GACGAACGCUGGCGGCGUGGAUUAGGCAUGCAAGUCGAACGGUAUCAUCCUUUCGGGGGUGAGGGGGAGAGUGGCGAACUGGUGAGUAACACGUAGGUUAUCUACCCUCAAGACGGGGACAACCCAGGGAAACUUGGGCUAAUACCGGAUGUGAGCAACUUUUAGUUGUUUGAAAGGUGGCGUAAGCUGUCGCUUGGGGAUGAGCCUGCGUCCUAUUAGUUAGUUGGUGAGGUAACGGCUCACCUAGGCAAUGAUAGGUAGGCGGCCUUAACGGGUGGUCGCCCACACUGGGAUUGAGAUACGGCCCAGACUCCUACGGGAGGCAGCAGUCGAGAAUAGUCUACAAUGGUCGGAAGACUGAUAGUGCGACGCCGCGUGAACGAUGAAUCCCUUCGGGGUGUAAAGUUCUUUUAUAUGUGAGCAGUGCUUCUUAUAUUAACAGUAUGGGGAGAGAGAUAUUAGCAUAUGAAUAAGCAACGGCUAACUCCGUGCCAGCAGCCGCGGU
rnacentral:rRNA from 1 species